rnacentral:lncRNA from 1 species
CAUUCCUGUGUCAAUCAAACAGGUUAGAAACUGACACCUGCAAAACAGAAGACAAGUUAUUAUGGUUUAUGCAUGAAUGCAGUGUUUAUCCACAUGAGGAACACUUUGUCUCUUGAUCCUGGCUUCAUCGAGACAAAUAAUAAUCCGGCAGCAAUAUUCUGACAUUCAGCAUCUGAUUUCAUCAUACAGAUCAGAGAUAUAUGAUUUAG